GUGAAUCAUCAAAUUUUUGAACGCAAAUUGCACUCUCCUCGGAGAGUAUGCCUGUUUGAGGUUCAGCCUAUAAAAAUCGACAUCGUUGCUGUUUCGCGGUGGCGUUCGUCGGAAAUCGGGUCAUCUUAAAUCCUUUUGAUUUAAGCGACUUAAAAUUUUCUUUUGGUUCCAUGAACGUUUCUAAGAUCUAUUUUUUUACUCGUCUAGUGUAUCGAUUUUUACUAGACUUUUCCAUCAUAUCGCAUCGUGUCCAUAAUUUUCCAUUAACUUAUCUUAGUCAGGCA
rnacentral:misc_RNA from 1 species